rnacentral:rRNA from 1 species
CAGCAGCCGCGGGAAUACGGAGGGUGCAAGCGUUACUCGGAAUUACUGGGCGUAAAGCGUGUGUAGGUGGUUGUUUAAGUCUGUCGUGAAAGCCCUGGGCUCAACCUGGGAAUUGCGAUGGAUACUGGGCGACUAGAGUGCGGUAGAGGAUAGUGGAAUUUCCGGUGUAGCAGUGAAAUGCGUAGAGAUCGGAAGGAACAUCUGUGGCGAAGGCGACUAUCUGGGCCAACACUGACACUGAGGCACGAAAGCGUGGGGAGCAAACAGGAUUAGAUACCCCCGUAGUCCCUGUCUCUUAUAC